UCUAAUUACAUAAAAUUGAUAUUGUCAUAUAGUUAUUUGUUUGUGCUUUGUUCUGAUAUAUCGAUUUCUUUUUUCUCAAAUUUUUUGCUUCGUUUUAUAUAAUGCACAGAAAGAAGGGGGAAUGCCUGAACUGGAGAAAGGUACAGUUAAGGCUGUUCAAGAUCUUUAUGACGUUGUGCACCAUGACAUCCUUUCUGUGGACCUGAGGGAAAACUAUGAGACAUGGAAAUUUUUGUCAAAUGCAAGGAUGGAAGGUCGUCUAUUUGCAAAGUUAAAGUGGCCCAAGGACCCUAAGUUGGUAUGUUUGAGCAGAUUACCUGAUCUCCUUAGUUGGGUUUAGAUUUAAUGCUCAGUGUUAUGUUGUGCUUCUGCUGCUUUUUAGUUAUUGAGGAUAUGCAGAGAGUGCAAGUGAAAAGAUUGUAUUCACUGUGUUGACGCAUUAUUUAUAACGAGAUCCAAAAGGAAGGACAGGUUCAAUCUCAAUGUCCGUGAGCUUUCAAUUCUCAAUUUUAUUAUUAUUAAUUUUGUUUGCUCUUUGAAAUUUGAAUGCAUCAGUCUUUUAAUUUGAUUGGGAUUAGUUUACCUGAGAUGGGUUUUGGGUAAUCAUCUGUUAUUUUCUGAUUUGGUUACAUUAUGCGAAUCAUUGCUUCUUUAGAAAAGAUUAAGGAAGGUGAGCAAUUUCAGAAAAAAUGCGAUUAUCAUUUUCUAGAGAUCAUGGCAUUGCCCUUUUUUUUUACAUCUAUAGUGUCAUGUUGGCAUUAUUGCUUAUGUAUAAAAGCGAGUGUAUUUUACAUCUAUCUAAUGGCUUCAAUUUUAAUCUCCGCAUUUUCAGUGUUCACUAAUGCCUUUAAUUGUUCCCUGUUUUACAUCUCAGUGAUGACACAAAAGCUCCAUAGAAAACAUGUCAGCUUUUGACUUAAAUUUUGAUGGUGCCCCUAUCAUCUCUCCGAAAACCAAAGCAACCCCAAACAAUUCCGGAAUAAUUUUUACGUGUCCCAAAAUACGUGAUGUUGCAGCAAACGAAAUAUCAGACACAACUCUUACUCCAAAGGCUCCCGCCAGAAAUGUAUCAGAUUCCCCAGCAUUUCUGAAACCAUAUUUAUGGCUGCAAAACAGAGUAUGUAUACCCUUUCAUUGUUCUAUAUUUUUUGAAUUAUUAACCAUCUAUUAAACAUAAUCUUUUUAUCCCCUUCGCUUAAAACUCAAAUAGUUCACUAGAUUUCUUUAUCAUAGUCAAUUGGAAAUGAUGCAGUACUUUAUUCAAUUCAGAUUCUUCAUUUCAGUUGCUUGGUAUGCAUCUAUGAGGAUGUUAAUUUUUUCAUCAAUGAAUACUGAUGAAUUUUGCUGCAUAUCCUUCACAUUGUUCAACUACUCAAUGCUAUUCCUUUAUGAAUGGUUUAACUGAUACCUCCUAUUUAGUUGAUGAAAUAAUCUACCAAAAAAAUAGGGAGUUCAAUUCAGAACAAAAAAUUCUGUUAACAUUUUAGUUCGCUUUCUACAAUUUUGACCAUCUAUAUAGAUCCUCCAAUCUUUCAUAUCACAUGCCUAUAUCAAUCUGAUUGAUAAAUGCACAGUUCCUUUUUUAACUUCCAGUCCAUUUGAAAUUUUCAUUUUGCUGCUUUAUUUUAACAGUUGCCAUUUUUUCAAAUUUGUAUCAACACUUUUCAAAUUUUAACAGUCCAUUAGAUUUCCAUACUUUCUUUUUCUCUUUUGUUUUAAAUUCUAUCUCAUUUUUCUAAAACCAAAAUGCAAAACAUAAAUUUUUAGGCAGUCUGUCUUUAGGCACUUUACAAUACUGGUUCUGAUCGCUUGAUUGAAAACGCUGUGUCUAUAUUUGAACAACUUGGUAGAAAAGGUUACAUAGACAAAAAAAGGCACCUCAGCAACCGGAUGAAUAAGAAUGAACAACUCCUGCUGUACCAUUUGUCAUAUCCAUAAACAUCUAUUCAUAAUCUUUCGACCAUCUUUUGUACGUAAAUAGGACAAUUUCGUAAAUCUUUUGUAUGUAAAUAUUAUAUACAUAUGCAUCUAGCAUUCUCUUUUGUAUGUAAAUAGGAUUAUCUACCAAAUCUUUUGCACGUAAAAUAGUAUGUCCAUACAGAUCAAGUAUUUUUGUAUGUAAAUAGUGCUAUACACAAAAUUACAUACAGUUCAAUCCCACAGCAUCGCGUGGGCAUCUCU